UAAUGAUAGUGAUUUAAAUUGGAUUUAUUUAGUGAAAAAUUUGCGAAAUGCAGGCGUCAGUAUUGAAUCGCUUAUCGAAUUUUGCAGGUUAGCGCAGCUUCCUAAAAA
rnacentral:sRNA from 1 species